GAUGAACGCUGGCGACGUGCCUAAUACAUGCAAGUCGAGCGAACGGACGAGAAGCUUGCUUCUCUGAUGUUAGCGGCGGACGGGUGAGUAACACGUGGAUAACCUACCUAUAAGACUGGGAUAACUUCGGGAAACCGGAGCUAAUACCGGAUAAUAUUUUGAACCGCAUGGUUCAAAGGUGAAAGACGGUCUUGCUGUCACUUAUAGAUGGAUCCGCGCUGCAUUAGCUAGUUGGUAAGGUAACGGCUUACCAAGGCAACGAUGCAUAGCCGACCUGAGAGGGUGAUCGGCCACACUGGAACUGAGACACGGUCCAGACUCCUACGGGAGGCAGCAGUAGGGAAUCUUCCGCAAUGGGCGAAAGCCUGACGGAGCAACGCCGCGUGAGUGAUGAAGGUCUUCGGAUCGUAAAACUCUGUUAUUAGGGAAGAACAUAUGUGUAAGUAACUGUGCACAUCUUGACGGUACCUAAUCAGAAAGCCACGGCUAACUACGUG
rnacentral:rRNA from 1 species